rnacentral:rRNA from 1 species
UACGUAGGGUGCAAGCGUUGUCCGGAAUUAUUGGGCGUAAAGAGCUUGUAGGCGGUUUGUCGCGUCUGCUGUGAAAUUUCGGGGCUCAACCCCCGAACUUGCAGUGGGUACGGGCAGACUAGAGUGUGGUAGGGGAGACUGGAAUUCCUGGUGUAGCGGUGAAAUGCGCAGAUAUCAGGAGGAACACCGAUGGCGAAGGCAGGUCUCUGGGCCAUAACUGACGCUGAGAAGCGAAAGCAUGGGGAGCGAACAGG